rnacentral:tRNA from 1 species
ACCUAAAUAGUUUAAUCAAAAUAUUGAUUUGUGGUGUCAAAGAUAUAAUUAGUUAUUUUAGGUC